rnacentral:rRNA from 1 species
AUUGAACGCUGGCGGCAUGCCUUACACAUGCAAGUCGAACGGUAACGGGCCUUCGGGUGCCGACGAGUGGCGGACGGGGGAGUAAUACAUCGGAACGUGCCCGAUCGUGGGGGAUAACGAGGCGAAAGCUUUGCUAAUACCCCAUACGAUCUAAGGAUGACAGCAGGGGACCGCAAGGCCUCGCGCGGACGGACGGGCCGAUGGCAGAUUAGGUAGUUGGUGGGAUAAAAGCGUACCAAGCCGACGAUCUGUAGCUGGUCUGAGAGGAUGAUCAGCCACACUGGGACUGAGACACGGCCCAGACUCCUACGGGAGGCAGCAGUGGGGAAUUUUGGACAAUGGGCGCAAGCCUGAUCCAGCCAUGCCGCGUGCAGGAUGAAGGCCUUCGGGUUGUAAACUGCUUUUGUACGGAACGAAAAGCCUUCUUUUAAUACAGGAGGGUCAUGACGGUACCGUAAGAAUAAGCACCGGCUAACUACGUG